rnacentral:rRNA from 1 species
CGCUGAACUUAAGCAUAUUAAUAAGCGGAGGAAAAGAAACUAACAAGGAUUCCCCUAGUAACGGCGAGUGAAGCGGGAUGAGCUCAAGCUUAAAAUCUCCGUGCACGUUGUGCGCGGCGAAUUGUAGUCUAUAGAGGCGUGAUCAGCGCGGGCGCCCGGGGUAAGUUCCUUGGAAGAGGACAGCAUGGAGGGUGAUACUCCCGUUUGUACCUGGGUGUUCUGCGCGUACGGUCCGUUUUCUUUGAGUCGCGUUGUUUGGGAAUGCAGCGCAAAGUAGGUGGUAAAUUCCAUCUAAAGCUAAAUAUUGGUGCGAGACCGAUAGCGAACAAGUACCGUGAGGGAAAGAUGAAAAGAACUUUGAAAAGAGAGUUAAAGAGUACCUGAAACUGCUGAAAGGGAACCGAAUCGUUUCCAGUGUCUAUAAUCUGCGGCAUAUUUCACGUGCGAGUGCGUGCGUUUCGGCUUAUGGCAGCGGUCUUUUUUGGCUGCGCUGUUUGCUGUUUGUGCGUGCGCUUGCGUGUGCCCUGUGCCGCGGUGGGACGUCAAGGUCAGUUCGUAUGCUGCGGGAAAUGGCCGUCGGGGAGGUAGGUCUUAAGCUCCGCUUUUGGCUAUUAUAUCUCGGCGGUUGAGUCGUCGCGGUUGGGACUGAGGUGCCUACAACGUGCUUUUGAGCGCGCGCGCGUCUCUGUGUGCGCGGUCUGCGGAUAGCUUGCUAUGCGUGGGUCGCUGCGUGCGGAUGGAUGUGCGCUGCUGCUUGUUGCCGUUCGGACUUUGACGAAAUGGCGCGAUCCGACCCGUCUUGAAACACGGACCAAGGAGUCUAACACGCGUGCAAGUGUUCUGGCGUGGAAACCAGAGCGCGCAAUGAAAGUGAAGGGCGCCUUACGGCGUCUGAGGUAGGAAACCCUGUCUUCGGGCGGGGUGGCACUAUCGACCGAUCAUGAGCCCUCGUGGCGAAAGAUUUGAGUUUGAGCACGUGUGUUGGUACCCGAAAGAUGGUGAACUAUGCCUGAGUAGGGUGAAGCCAGGGGAAACUCUGGUGGAAGCUCGUAGCGAUUCUGACGUGCAAAUCGAUCGUCAAACUUGGGUAUAGGGGCGAAAGACUAAUCGAACCAUCUAGUAGCUGGUUCCCUCCGAAAUUUCCCUCAGGAUAGCAGCAACUUAUUUACGAUAGUUUUAUGAGGUAAAGCGAAUGAUUAGAGGAUUCGGGGAAGAAACUUCCUCGACCUAUUCUCAAACUUUAAAUCUGUAAGACCUGCAGGUUUCUUAAUUGAACUUGCGGAUGUGAAUAUCAAGUUGCUAGUGGGCCAUACGGGGUAAGCUCGUCUGGCG